AACGAACGCUGGCGGCGUGCUUAACACAUGCAAGUCGAACGCGAAAGGGACUUCGGUCCUGAGUAAAGUGGCGCACGGGUGAGUAACACGUGGAUAAUCUACCCGAUGGACCGGGAUAACACUUCGAAAGGGGUGCUAAUACCGGAUAAGCCCACAGGCUCCCUGGAGCUUGCGGGAAAAGGUGGGGACCUUCGGGCCUGCCGUCAUCGGAUGAGUCCGCGGCCCAUUAGCUAGUUGGUGGGGUAACGGCCCACCAAGGCGACGAUGGGUAGCUGGUCUGAGAGGAUGAUCAGCCACACUGGAACUGAGACACGGUCCAGACUCCUACGGGAGGCAGCAGUGGGGAAUUUUGCGCAAUGGGGGAAACCCUGACGCAGCAACGCCGCGUGAGUGAUGAAGGCUUUCGGGUCGUAAAGCUCUGUCAGAGGGGAAGAAACUGUUGUGGUCGAACAGGCCGCAAGACUGACGGUACCCUCAAAGGAAGCACCGGCUAACUCCGUGCCAGCAGCCGCGGUAAUACGGAGGGUGCAAGUGUUGUUCGGAAUUAUUGGGCGUAAAGCGCGUGUAGGCGGUUCGUUAAGUCAGGUGUGAAAUCCCCGG
rnacentral:rRNA from 1 species